RAGUUUGAUCCUGGCUCAGAACGAACGCUGGCGGCGUGCUUAACACAUGCAAGUCGAACGUGAUUGAGAGCUUGCUCUCAUGAAAGUGGCGCACGGGUGAGUAACACGUGGAUAAUCUGCCUGGCGAUUCGGGAUAACACUUCGAAAGGGGUGCUAAUACCGGAUAAGCCCACGGUCUCUUCGGAGAGUGCGGGAAAGGGGGCCUCUGUAUAUGCUCCUGUCGSUAGAUGAGUCCGCGGCCCAUUAGCUAGUUGGUAGGGUAAUGGCCUMCCAAGGCUACGAUGGGUAGCUGGUCUGAGAGGAUGAUCAGCCACACUGGAACUGAGACACGGUCCAGACUCCUACGGGAGGCAGCAGUGGGGAAUUUUGCGCAAUGGGCGAAASCCUGACGCAGCAACGCCGCGUGAGUGAUGAAGGCCUUYGGGUCGUAAAGCUCUGUCAGAGGGGAAGAACCGCCGGGUGGCUAAUACCUGCCUGGUCUGACGGUACCCUCUAAGGAAGCMCCGGCUAACUCCGUGCCAGCAGCCGCGGUAAUWCAAGGRCGCACAGGAAACACCUAUGACCAYGAUUSCGGAUYCWCWGSCCGUCGUUUACARCCWCAUGAAACAGCUAGAAGAUGG
rnacentral:rRNA from 1 species